rnacentral:rRNA from 1 species
UACGGAAGGCAGCAGUGGGGAAUAUUGCACAAUGGGCGCAAGCCUGAUGCAGCCAUGCCGCGUGUAUGAAGAAGGCCUUCGGGUUGUAAAGUACUUUCAGUCGUGAGGAAGGUGUUAAGGUUAAUAACCUUAGCAAUUGACGUUAGCGACAGAAGAAGCACCGGCUAACUCCGUGCCAGCAGCCGCGGUAAUACGGAGGGUGCGAGCGUUAAUCGGAAUUACUGGGCGUAAAGGGCACGCAGGCGGUUAAUUAAGUUGGAUGUGAAAUCCCCGGGCUUAACCUGGGAAUGGCAUUCAAGACUGGUUAGCUAGAGUCUUGUAGAGGGGGUAGAAUUCCAUGUGUAGCGGUGAAAUGCGUAGAGAUGUGGAGGAAUACCGGUGGCGAAGGCGGCCCCCUGGACAAAGGGACCUGACGCGUCAUGUGCGAAAGCGUGGGGAGCGAAAC